CGGGCGGCGGCGGCGGCGCCCACAGCUCGCGCCCAGGCGGCCGCUGUAGGCCCGAGAGGCGCGGCCCGGCCGCCGGCCGCAUGGGGCGCAGCGCGGCCCGCGGCUCCGGGGCGGCGGCGGCGUUGGAGGCGGCGGCGCGCGGCUCGCUCACACCGACCCCCUUCCCGCCGUAGCCCCGCCGCAGCCCGCAGCCCCACGCACCCCGGCGGGAGCGGAGGACCGCGGGAAGCAUGCAGGCGCGCCGCCUGGCCAAGCGCUCCAGCCUGGGCGGCCGCCGCGGGGGCCCCGCGCUGCACCCGCCGGGCCCGGCGCCCGAGAGCGGGAGGCCGCCGCUGCCCCCGCCGCCCCGGAGCGCGGGGCCCGGCCCGCCUCGGGCCGCCUUGUCGCCCGCGCUGCUGCUGCUCGGCGAGGAGGACGAGGAGGAGGAGGGCGCGGGCCGGCGGCGGGGGCGCGGGCGGCUGCUGGAGAGGCCCCGCGGGGGCGCGGAGGACGGGGACGAGGACGAGGACGAGGACGAGGAGGGAGUCAUCGAGGUGGACGGCGACGAGGACGAGGACGGCGAGGAGCGCUUCCCGCCGCUGGGCCCUGGCCGCGCGGUCCCCAGGGGCCUGGCGCGGGGCGCGGGGAAGGUGGGGAGCAUUAAGCGAGACAUGACCUUCACGUUUCACCCAGAGGACCUAAAACGGGACUUGAGUAAAAAACUGUCUCAUCAGCCCUGGUUCCCCUUGGCCAUGGAGGAAGACGUGAAAACCGCCGACACCAGGCCAGCCACCCGAGGCCCGGACCAUGACAGGGAAAACGCCCGCUCCAUCUGUCUCCUUGAGCAGAAGCGAAAAGUGGUCUCCUCCAGCAUCGACGUUCCCCCGGCCAGGAAAUCCUCGGAGGAACUGGACAUGGACAAGGUGACAGCAGCAAUGGUACUCACCAGCCUGUCCACCAGCCCUUUGGUUCGAAGCCCUCCUGUGCGGCCGAAUGAGGGCAUGAGCGGAUCCUGGAAGGAGGGCGGCGCCCCGUCCAGCAGCUGCAGCAGCGGCUACUGGAGCUGGAGCGCCCCCAGCGACCAGUCCAACCCGUCCACACCGUCGCCGCCGCUGUCCGCCGACUGCGCCAAGCCCUUCCGCAGCCCCGCACCCGACGAUGGCAUCGACGAGGCCGAGGCCGGCAACCUGCUCUUCGACGAGCCCAUCCCCAGGAAGAGAAAGAACUCCAUGAAGGUGAUGUUCAAGUGCCUCUGGAAGAACUGCGGGAAGGUGCUGAGCACCGCGGCCGGGAUCCAGAAGCACAUCCGGGGCGUCCACCUCGGGCGUGCUGGGGACUCUGAUUACAGCGAUGGUGAGGAGGACUUCUACUACACGGAGAUCAAGCUCAACACGGACGCGGUGGCGGACGGACUGGGCAGCCUGGCCCCGGCUUCGCCCUCCCAGUCCCUGGCUUCACCUCCCACCUUCCCCAUCCCGGAUUCAAGCAGAACAGAAAGCCCUGGUGCCAAAACCGAGACUAAAUUGAUGACGCCCUUGAGCCGCUCGGCCCCUACCACCCUCUACCUCGUGCACACCGACCACGCGUACCAGGCCACGCCCCCCGUGACCAUCCCAGGAUCGGCCAAGUUCACCCCCAAUGGCAGCAGCUUCAGUGUCUCCUGGCAGUCUCCUCCAGUUACCUUCACAGGCAUUCCAGAAGCCUCGGGGAGAGGGCAAGAAGUGCCGGAAGGUGUACGGCAUGGAGAACCGGGACCUGUGGUGCACCGCCUGCCGCUGGAAGAAGGCCUGCCAGCGCUUCCUGGACUGAGGGGUGCAGCUGUGGCCACUGGGCCUCCCGCCCUCACCGCCACGGCAGCUUCGGGAAAGCGCUCUUCCUUCAAACAAAGCACACCUGAAGCCCGGGGAAGCGCGUCCAGGCGGCCUGGUGGAAUUGCAGAAGAAAGAAGGCCACGUGGCCCGGUGCGCUCAGAGCCGCUUCCCGCGCGCGAGAGGCAGUCCCCGUCCUCUGCCGGGUCAGGCCUGGAAGCGGUGGUCUCCGCAGCACUGGGUCCCACGGAGCCAUGUUCCCCUGGAGGAGGCAUGUUUUGAUGAGCUUCCUGAAAAAUGCCGUUUCGGAGUGGGGGACCCCCAGGGGAAGCUGCGGGUGACUGUGGCAUUUGUGUCAGGACAAGACUUGCUUUCCUGGGUCUUCCCCGUUCCCAUGGACUUCUUGGGCAGCUCUGGCAUCUUUCCCGUGUCUUUCCUGUUUGUUUUGUUUUGAAGAAUGGCCCUGCUUGGAGGGGUGUGGGCCUGCAGGCCCGAUGGCGAGUGGGAUCACCAGCCGACCGCAGCUCCCAGCGGCUCCGAGGGACACCUUGAAGUCUUCCCGGGACCUGGAGAGCCCUUUCCCGGCUCCUCUGCGGCUCAGCUCCGCCCGACCCGGCGGGGAGGCCGGGAGCCUGGCACUCCUUCCAGGCAUGUGCAGCUGGGGCUGCGGGCCGCCGCUCGCCUGGCCAAGCCGCUGCGGUGCACCGGGCACCGGGCUUUCCCUCCAAGCCCCCACUGUCUGUCUGAGCAAAGGUCAAGAACUCGAGCGGGCCCCGCGGUUCGCUCUGGACGGCAGAGCACAGCCUCCGGGGCCGUCUGUUCGGAAAGCCGCGAGGUCGGCCGACCGACCGGUUCUGUGCACUUUGGUAGGUUUUAUGCUUUAGUGCGUCUGGGGGACGGGUUCGUGAGCAGUCUAAGCGCUUUAUGGGUAAAAGGGAAAAUCCAAACCUUUGUUUUGCUUGUAAAAAUAGUGGAGCUGUUUGUCAGGAAUUGGCUCAGAAGGGAACCUAGAGACACCAAAGGAACAUGCACUGUAGGGCGCUCUCGGCUUCGCAGGGCGGCUGGUGCUGUGCUCGCUCUCCAGGCUCUCUGGCCUGGCGGGUGGCGGUGCUGGUGGUGGUGGUGGUGCUAGUAGUGGGGAGUCGUGUCACGCCCUAUAGAUUCCUACCCCCUCCCGAUUGCCCUGGAAGGAGUCACUUCCCCUCUCCCUAUGCAAACAGGUACAAGCACCUUACGGAUGACUGUGAGCCGGGAGCGGGGUCAGCACAGGAAUGUGAAAGGACAUUGCACAGGGAAAGUGUAAUAUCUGUCUAGAGGUUGACACAGCCUUUUGUAAAGAGUAGGAAGAAGUCGUGUAGAAUAAUAGUUACUCUUCUUAUACAUGAGGAGGUUCUGUGGUGUGACAUCCACAAUCUAUAUUCUUAUAUUUUGGCAAUUUGAUUUUUUAAACUCUCAUAUGACUUUUUAAACAUGAUUCCUUCGAAGAAAUCCUGUUUUCCCCCUCCAUUUAUAUUUUUUCUUUAAAAACACUUAUUUCAAGAGAGCAGGAAAAGAGCUUAUUUACUAUCACGUCUGGAAGCUCCCUCAGUAAGCACCAGGGCAUCAGCUAUAAUGUGAGCUUCGUAGGGACUGGUUGGCCAAGAAAGGGCAUUGUUUUCAAAUGCAAACAUGGCUUUGCACCCCCUGCCCUAGCGGGUCUUUUCUCCUCCCUGUGCUUCCCGAUAGGUGCCCUCGCUGUGAGCUGGUGCUGUGGCCGGUGCCGGUGCCUGAGCUGGGGUGGGGAGUCCCCGUGAGUCCAGGGCUGGCCAACAUCUGAUGAGGUUCCCCACACACUGAGGCGGUGGGGUGCUACCUGGCACAGAGGUUUCCUCUGCAGCACCCCUGGCUCUUGAUCCUGGGAUUAAGUCACUAAUCACAAAUGAUUAAAGUGAUGAGGGCUUCAUCCACCACCACCGCCACACACAGAACUUUGGGAUGCAAGGGAGAGACCGUGCCGUGGGCAGCCCUGCACCUGGUCCUGGAGACGCCGGGCACGCGUGGUUCUGGGCUCUGGCCUGGAUGUUAGCCGAAGCACAGGCACAGCAGAAGGUGGAGCGGAGGGCCCUUCCCUAGGAGAUCUUUGCCUUUCUGACACCUUCUUACACACGCCUCCCGCCCACGGGGGCUCCUGGCUCCCGCCAGGCGUGCACAGAGCCUCAGUACCGCCCUGCAAUGCGGGCCCCCCUUCCCUGUACCUAGGCACCUGGUAACUAGGGGACCACCAAUCUUUGCCUGGCUGGCCUUGAUAAAAAGUAAUUCAAUUUCUUGCAGGCCACCCAGGAAGCUAUGAGUUGCAAUAUACAACACUGAUUGAUAAAUUUAAAAAUGUAGAGCUAUUUUGUUAUACUUUGGAACUAAAUGAAGUGCCAAAUUAAGCCCGACAUUCACUUCCUCCAUCUCUGGGGCACCACGUUUCUCUGUCCUCACUUGGUGGAGGACGGAGGGAGGUAGGUGGGAAGGGGUGUCCCAGGGCCAGGCGGGGUCCGUCCAUCACAGGGACAAGUGCUGCUCAGCCCCGCCCCCCCCCCCCCCCCCCCCCCCCCCCGUCCCUGGCCCCUCAAGGGCGCGGCCACCUGCAGUGAGCAGAGAGCGCCUUCCUUCUGAGCCAGGGGUCCUCUGGACGCAGCCCAUGACCUCCCUCCCAGACUCUGCAGGGAAGCGGGCGGCAGCUUUCGCUGGAGAGUGCUUAGGGAGGACUGGCACAGCUGGAGCAGAACGCUGAGCAGCAGCAAAGAACUACACUAAUGUUCAUUCCUCAGGGAAAGCUAAGGGCGUGUGAAAUAGAACUGGAGGAGCGGAAGGCUGGGAAGACUGGUUACCACUAGAGUCUUCUAGUCAGGAAAGUUGGGGUGUUUUAGGACGUGCUAUCAUUUCGAGGCAAAUUUACAUGAGUUUACACUUUUGGAGGCGGGGACACUGGGGAAAGGGGAAAGCGUUUCUCAGUGGCUGAGCUGCGUGGAGGGCCUGCGGGUGGGCCGCAGUGUCCCCGGCCUGGAUGGCUUUCUCCCAGGGUCACCUUGAGACCGGCCUUGGCGUCCCUCCGCCUCCACCCGGAGGGCUGGCUCUGGGCUGUGAGCCGAAGCCGCGGGAAAGCUGGGCGUCUUGCUGCGCUGGAGGGCGAGGAGUGAUCUUCCCGGACUUUUCUGGACAAGGUGCUGCUUUUUCUCAUGAUCCUGUAGAAUUUCUCUCCACCACGUCACCUGCCGCGCUGAGGGGAGGGUGGGAGGGAGUUCCGAGCACGCAAAUGGUGCGGACACAGAGGCUUCUCUGGUGGGCAUGAGCGUGGGGACCAUUUUGGAGAAUGCACUGGGCACACAGGGCAACUGAAAAUUUUCUUUUCUAAGAAAACUACCCUCCCAGCCCCACGGGUCUCCCUGCUCCUCCCGCUCCUCAGGCCUGUGGGGUCCUCCCUGUGGAAAUUGUUUCCUUGUGUCUGUUUCCAUUGUGACUAGUCAAACCGCAAGCCAGGAAAGCAAUGAGGUUAGCACGCCGGGUGCCAACUGUAUCCCCAAUCCAGCAAAAAAAAAAUAUACGACGUGUUUCAUUGUGACUGACUGAAAAAAGCCCGUAUUCAGUGGCCUAGAGCAGCGAUUUUCAACCUUCACCUCACAGCACAGAGACUAAUUAUGAAAAUUCUGCAGCACACCAAAUAUAUGUUUUGUUGAUUUGACAAAAAAAUAA